UACGAAGGGGGCUAGCGUUGCUCGGAAUUACUGGGCGUAAAGGGAGCGUAGGCGGGUCGUCAAGUUGGGGGUGAAAGCCCAGGGCUCAACCUUGGAACUGCCUUCAAAACUGACGAUCUAGAGUAUGGAAGAGGUAAGUGGAACUCCGAGUGUAGAGGUGAAAUUCGUAGAUAUUCGGAAGAACACCAGUGGCGAAGGCGACUUACUGGUCCAUGACUGACGCUGAGGCUCGAAAGCGUGGGGAGCAAACAGG
rnacentral:rRNA from 2 species